UACAGAGGGGGCAAGCGUUAUUCGGAAUUAUUGGGCGUAAAGGGCGCGUAGGCGGCCUUGCAAGUGACGGGUGAAAUCCCUCGGCUUAACCGAGGAACUGCCUGUCAAACUGCAUGGCUAGAGUACGGUAGAGGGGGAUGGAAUUCCGCGUGUAGCAGUGAAAUGCGUAGAUAUGCGGAGGAACACCGAUGGCGAAGGCAAUCCCCUGGACCUGUACUGACGCUCAUGCACGAAAGCGUGGGGAGCAAACAGG
rnacentral:rRNA from 1 species